UACGAGGGGGGCGAGCGUUGUUCGGAAUUAUUGGGCGUAAAGGGUGCGUAGGCGGUUGUUUAAGUCUGUCGUGAAAUCCCCGGGCUCAACCUGGGAAUGGCGAUGGAUACUGGCGAGCUAGAGUGUGUCAGAGGAUGGUGGAAUUCCGAGUGUAGAGGUGAAAUUCGUAGAUAUUCGGAAGAACACCAGUGGCGAAGGCGACUUACUGGACACAUAUUGACGCUGAGGUGCGAAAGCGUGGGGAGCAAACAGG
rnacentral:rRNA from 1 species